rnacentral:rRNA from 1 species
UACAGAGGUGGCAAGCGUUGUUCGGAAUUACUGGGCGUAAAGCGUGCGCAGGCGGUUUUGUAAGACAGGCGUGAAAUCCCCGGGCUUAACCUGGGAAUUGCGCUUGUGACUGCAAGGCUGGAGUGCGGCAGAGGGGGAUGGAAUUCCGCGUGUAGCAGUGAAAUGCGUAGAUAUGCGGAGGAACACCGAUGGCGAAGGCAAUCCCCUGGGCCUGCACUGACGCUCAUGCACGAAAGCGUGGGGAGCAAACAGG